ensembl:lncRNA
CUUCUGUCUGUGCCGGGGGGCUGUAGGUGUCACGACUCAGGGUGAAGCUGUUGCAGCAGGACGCUGCUUGCUGGGUUCUGUGCUUCAGGGAGGCAGGGGAAGGCUGUGCCUGGCACUGCGGGGGGGGUUGGUUGUGUUCAGGCAUCUGUCUGUGCUGCUGGAACAAGCUUUCGGGCCAAAUUGCAUUUAGCUCUAUAAAUAGAGUGGGUAUAUUUGACGUCUUUCCCCACUGUAAUCUUUCUGAAAAUUACAGUGUUAGCAGAAGUGUGUUCAGCUUAAGGCUCCUACACAUGUGUGCAUCCCAAAUGAUUUUUGUUUUGAAUGCUUCCCAUAGCUCUCCUGUCCUGAGCCAUAGUGUGCUUUAUAGGUGACACUGCAGCUCUGUGUUGGGUCACAAAGAGCCGGAGGGCGCAGAUCUGUGCUCUGCUCCUGGAGAACGUGUGCUCUUGGUGUCAGAAUCGUUUGAGUCAGAAGAGAUCCUUAAAGGCCAUCUGGUCCAACCCCUGCAAUGAACAGGGACACCCACAGCUCCAUCAGGUGCUCAUCCAGCUGACCUUGGGUGUCUGCAGGGACGGGGCACCACCACCUCUCUGGGCAACCUGUGCAAGUGCUUCCCUGGUCGUGCUGCUGCCUUCCAGCGGCUGCCCCGUACCCUGCAUGACACUGCGAGGAGUCCUGGGCUGCAGUCCCCGUGCAGUGCCAGCCUCUGGGAACAGCUGGCUGAGCGAGCACGGGAGGAAAUGCUCCCAAUAGUGCUCCCUGAGUGCUCUGCUCAGAUGUGCAUCCCUCGGACAUGAAUUUGGGAUGCAGAAAGGAGCCGGGAUGUCAGAGAUGCACUUGUAUCUACUGGCCCAGACCUCAUCAGAAGUCAUGUUAGCACUGAAUGUAGGGUUUUGGAUAGCUUGGGUUUAACAGCCUCGAAGCUACUUGUUAACGCUUUCAGCUUUAAGCCUUAUUGUAUCUCAUGUUCCUCCCUGCAAGUGCUGGAGAAAGCAGAUCUGUGGAUUACCGUGCAGGAAGCGUUCAUGUGAGGGGGUUUGGUAACUUCUGGCAUCAUCUCUCUGCUGCCUUCCCCACCCCAGGGCCCUGAGCUCCUCUCACCCAUAGCCCACAGAUGGCUGUGCUGGAAAACUGAAGCACAGAACAGCUCUGGGCUUCUGAAUGCCACUGUCAAUGUUUUGACCUCCAUUUGCAUGCUGUUUGGCUUCCCGCAUGCAGAUCGCAGCCCAUUACUGAUUGAUUCUGCCCAACAGAAUGGUAAAACAGGCGUGCGGCGGCAUUCAUUGUAUGGGAGCGAUGUGUGCCGCUGUGGGAAGCAGAGAGGUGGGAACCGGGGGCUGUGCUUAUGUGCCAGCUCUUGUUUGCUCAUGUAGUGUUCCAAUAGAAGUUGCUGAGAUGAACUGUGGAAAUGUUGAGCAUAGGGGGAGACUAAUAGUGAGUUUGGAUUCUGACCCUUAGCUGGGAUGCAUCCUGGCUUACAUUUCGUGUCAACCUGCGGCUAUUAGGAGAGACUCGAAGCAAAGACCAUGAGGACUUCUGGCUUUUGUCCUCCACGUGGGUGCAGCUUUCUUGCGGCUCCAGCUGAGCUGUGUUUCCAUUGCUGGGCUUCCCAGCUGGGCUGAAGUCUCUGAAUUAAGGCUUUAAAUAGUAGAAAGCAUAGGCAAACUGGUAGCCACAUUGCAAGCCCGUGUUAUUGCAGAGCCAACCACUGCAGUGCACCAACAGCAUCCUACAGCAUGGACCACCUAUAGCCACAGCUCUCGCAGUGGAUUAAUGAAUGCCAAACUCAUUAGCUACAGACAAAUAACAUCUAAAUAGAGGUGACCUUCCGGAUAAUGACAAUGGCAGAUCCGUCUUGAGUUCAUCUCCAGGCUGGUCUUCUGCGUGUGAGAGAUGUUGUCCCUUCAGUGUGUUUUGGAAUCUGAGGUGAGGGAAGGAGCCCUGAUCUUCUGGCAGCUGCCAGGGGAAAAGUAAGUAUUACAGAACUUGCUUUCUGAGAGAGCAAUGCAGUUUCUUUGUGAUGAAGACUCACUGUGUGCAUGAGUCAAUUCCCUUCGUUUUUUGUGGGAUGUAAAGGUCACUUUGUCUGCAUCUGAACUAUGACAAAAUCAAUAGUCUAAUCAAUUUCUAAAGUAGAUUUAGUCUAAAUGACUUCUGUUGUGUGCUGUGAGCUUUGAUGUGUGAACGUGUCCCAAAAAGCCACCAGAACAGUCAAUGCAGAGCAUCGCAGCAAAUAACCUCGCAGAGUUUGCAGGGGAGUUUUCAGUCCCAUUCACUGUGUCCACAGGGCUUUUUUUUCCCUGCCCGGUCCCAGCACGGCUUCCUCCUGCUGUUCCCACUGAAAGAAUGGAUCCCUGAGAGCAACAAAAGCAGUCACGCAGUUCACUUGAGCAGUCAUGCAUAAAGAUG